GAUGAACGCUGGCGGCGUGCUUAACACAUGCAAGUCGAGCGAGAAAAGUUCUUCGGAGCUUUUCUGGCGGCGGACGGGUGAGUAACACGUGGGCAACCUGCCUCAUAGAGGGGAAUAGCCUUCCGAAAGGAAGAUUAAUACCGCAUAACAUUGUUGAAAGGCAUCUUUUAACAAUCAAAGGAAUAAUCCGCUGUGAGAUGGGCCCGCGGCGCAUUAGCUAGUUGGUGAGGUAACGGCUCACCAAGGCGACGAUGCGUAGCCGACCUGAGAGGGUGAUCGGCAACAUUGGAACUGAGACACGGUCCAGACUCCUACGGGAGGCAGCAGUGGGGAAUAUUGCACAAUGGGGGAAACCUUGAUGCAGCAACGCCGCGUGAGUGAUGAAGGUCUUCGGAUUGUAAAGCUCUGUCUUUAGGGACGAUAAUGACGGUACCUAAGGAGGAAGCCACGGCUAACUACGUGCCAGCCGCCGCCGUAACAC
rnacentral:rRNA from 1 species